ACAAGUGUGUGGUCAAAAGCUGUGCACAGACGUUCCCAAAGCUCGACACAUUUCUGGAGCAUAUCAAGAGCCACCAGGAGGAGCUAAGCUAUCGCUGCCACCUCUGUGGCAAGGACUUCCCGUCUCUCUAUGAUCUGGGUGUGCACCAGUACUCCCAUAGCCUCCUGCCACAGCACAGCCCCAAGAAGGACAGUGCCGUCUACAAGUGUGUCAAAUGUGUCAACAAAUACUCUACCCCCGAGGCCCUGGAGCACCACCUGCAGACAGCAACUCACAACUUCCCCUGCCCACACUGCCAGAAGGUGUUUCCUUGUGAACGCUACCUGCGACGGCAUCUGCCCACCCAUGGAAGUGGGGGCAGGUUCAAGUGCCAGGUGUGCAAGAAGUUCUUCCGGCGGGAGCACUACCUCAAACUGCAUGCUCACAUCCACUCAGGUGGGUUCCCUGUCCCCAUCAA